rnacentral:sRNA from 2 species
AGAAAAGUAAGUGCCGCCCCGCACAGGGGCGACGCUAAUAGACCACUAAGAAAGCAGGUUCUACAGAGAGACGCGGAUAACCAACAAAAACCAACCCAGCGCCCC